rnacentral:lncRNA from 1 species
GAAGGGGACAAUAGUUCUAUUUGUGGCUGAGGAACCCUCUGGCCAUGCCCCCGGGAAUGACUGGAAAGUCUAAAAUCCACUCAAGUAGCUGUUUUGUCUAUAUAUUUGUCAAUAAUAGUUUUGACGUUUUUCUUCUUCCUGAAAUGCUUUGAAUUGAGCAUUCAUUUCUAUAUAGUAUAGUUGUUACUUAGCUGCAGGCUGAACUGGAGGAAGAUCAUUGAAAAUAUUUUUUUUAAUUUUUAUUUAUUUAUAAUAGUCACACAGAGAGAGAGAGAGAGGCAGAGACACAGGCAGAGGGAGAAGCAGGCUCAAUGCACCGGGAGCCCGACGUGGGAUUCGAUCCCAGGUCUCCAGGAUCGUGCCCUGGGCCAAAGGCAGGCGCCAAACCGCUGCGCCACCCAGGGAUCCCUGAAGAUAUUUUUUAAUUUUUAAAAUAAUGGGAACAUUGUGGCUCAGACCCAGAAAAAUCGCAACCCAAAUGUUGAAAUCGGUGGUAUUGAAAAAUAGGCACAGUUAAUAAUCUAAUUAAUGGUUUAGGCAUUUCUUUUCAUAUCAAUACUUCAUGAAUAGAGUGAGAUAUUUUUAAUCAAUUGAUCCUUAAAAAAUAUUCCUAUUAUAUCAAGUAUAGCUGUUGUUUCUCCUACAUUUGUACAGAGCUACUUGUAAUGGUGAAGCUUGCUGAAAAGGUGUGCCACUCCAAGGACCAGCCUAUUCCCAGCCUGCAUCUGGCUUGUAGAGCAUGCCAACAAUGCUUAAAAUAAUGGGUCACAUCUGUCGAGGAGGAUUAUAAAUUGUACCUGUUAUGCCCUGUAAUUAGUAACCCUCAAAUGGCUCCAGCUGCUAUUUCCCUGAGCGUUUGCCUUGCUAACAUAUUAUAGGAAAUAUAACUCAGACCCAAGAGUAUUUAGGUCCAAAGGACACUGUGUGUAGUGAAAUAGGAGGCUUUUCUUCUAAUCUAAAAAUGCCUCCUUUCUUGUUGCUCUCACCAAGUCUACCAGAGGGCCUUUCAUCCACAGACCAGUGUGGAAUGUGCUUCAGCUUGUUGAGGAGAGAUUUGGUUGUUGACUUUGUAGCAGAGCAAAAUUCACCCAUGAAUAGUGUGAAAAGUGAAUAUGUCUGUUUUCUGUAUGUUAGAAUGAUAUGAGAAUGAAUGUGUCUGUAACUGGAGACUUCACACUGAGAAGCUGACAUUUUGCUUCCAAAGGAGUGUUGCUAUUUGUUUGGCUCAUGGGUACAUCUGCAAAUGUUGGCAUGCUGGGUUGUUUGCAGAUCAGAAUUCAUUACUUUCUGAGACCUAAGGUACAGUAUGGACAAUGUAGGUUUUGAAAAAAAUGAUUUCAUUAGUUUGAGAGUCAGUACACUCUUUUCUGGUUUUAUUUCAGUGCAUUUCUAGUGAAAAUUCAUCAUCUCAUACAUGGCUAUCUACUACAAAUGAACUGAAAUAAGGCCAUUACCUCAUACUAUUCAAUAGAAAUUGCUUGAUAAUUUAACAAUUAAAAUGUGAAAAUGAAACUAUGAAAUAACAAAAAGAAAAUGUAUGUAUUUAUUGUAUUUAUAUAUUCUUGUAUAGCAACAUCUUUCUAAGUAGAAGCAUAAAAUCUGGAAUGAUUAAUUGAGUUAAUGCUACAAAAACAAACAUAUUAAGUUCCUUUUGUAGCCUAAAAAUUCAUGAGAAAAAUUAUAAGAAAACAACAAAUGGGAGAAUGUUUGCAGCAAGUUUUCUUCUUGAACAAUUCUUACAAGCUCAUUUUGAAAAGAUAAAAACAUAAAUAGGAAAAUGGACAAAGGACAUAAGAGUAAUUCACAAAGGAAGAAACACAAAAUGGCCAAUAAAUAAAUGAAAAAUAUUUACCUUCAUUAGCAAUCAAACAGAUACAAACUAAAUCCAUCAUCACAUUGGCAAAUUUUAAAAAUUGAUAAAACUUGUGUUGAUAAAGGUUUGAGGAAACAACUUUUAUAUACUCAAGUCAGAAAUAAAUAGGUAAACCUCUUUAUAAGGUAACAUGACAGUAUGUAUCUAAAUCCACAAAAUGUGCAAUUCCACUUGUAGGAAGUUACCUUAAGGAAAUACUUAGAGAUACGUAUAAAGCACUGACUACAAAAAUUUUUCACUGUACCACUGUGUUUAAUGGUGGAAAAUUAUAAGAAAAAGACAAUAGGAGAUACAUUAAAUAAAUUGUGUACAUUCAUAGGUUGAGAUAUUAUGUAGUUAUAUAAAAUCAUAUUGUAAUAAAAUAUUUAUUGACCUGGAAAAGUAACCAUAAUAUGUGCUGUGUUUAAAAACAUAAAAACAAUUUAUAGAAUAGUAAAUAGAGUAAGAUACCAUAUUUUAAAAUACUGCACGCACAUUAGAGAAAGAGAGAAAGAGAGAUUGAGACAGACAUUGACAGUUAUAGACAGAGACAUAAGACUAAAAGUCAGUGCUCCAAAAUAGUUAUGUUGGGGUGAUUAUAUUACAUGCAUUUUUUUCUUUCCCUUUUAGGUAUAUUACUUUUGAAAUUAGAAAUAAUAAAGUUAUCUAUGAAAGGACAUAAAUGCUAUAAAAAGACACACCAGCCCAAUCACAGGGAAGUAUUGUCCACGACUAGCCUUCAGGAAAAUGGACCAAGAUUGCCUUUGGUGUCCCAUGUCAUUUUUGUCCAUCCUUCUUUCUUUGAGUCAUCAUAUCCUACAAAUUUCCUGUGUUUUCAGUGUUUUUAUUUACUCAUCUAUUCCCUCAUACAUUCAACAGACAUUUGUUGCAUUUACCACCUGCCAGACUGCCCUUAUCAGUCUUGAGGUCUUUCACUCAGACCCUGUUAGGUGAUACACCAUGACAUUAGUUUAACAAGUUCUGUGUUAAAUAGGUAAUACUAGUAUGAAACUUGAAUUUAAAGGAGUACCUUAAAUGCCCUAACCCAAAGUGUGAGUAAUGUGAAUUUUGCAGACAAUUCUAUAUGGAUAAUCUUGCCAGAUGAUGCCACUCUCUUCUACACAUAGAAUAUGUGUGGGUAGAAGAGAGUGGCAUACAUAUGAGUGACAUACAUAUGAUGGUAGUAGAAUCAUCUGGACAGUAUGCUUCCAACAGUAUUCCCCUUAUAGGGUCUUGGCUCCCUAUGUUAGGAUCGGUCCCCUGGCCUGAUGCUUCAUUACCAAGAGUGCUUUUGGAUAUUAGUAAUGCAUGUUAAUUCUUCUGCUUUAUUUGUCCUGACCUUCUUCCUUUGGCUUUCCUAAUUCUUACCUGAUCUGCCUUCCAGAAUUUACAUCCUUCUGUUCUAUGACUUUAGCUUCCACACUUGUUCUGAUCCAAACAUUUGCUCUAACUUUCUUCAGCACUAGUAUAAAUUUUCUGUCACUGCUGUAUCAAAUUUCCAUAAACUUAGUGGCUUGAAACAAUACAAAUAUAUUUUCUUAGAGUCCUGGAGGUCCAAAAUCCAAAAUGGUUCUACUAGGCUAAAGUCAGGGUACUGGUAAGACUGCAUUUUCUUUUGGAAGCUCUAGAGGAAAACCUAUUUCCUUGCCUUUUUCAGUUUCUAGAAGCCACCUUCAUUUCUUGACCCAUGGCCCCUCCUUCAUCCUCAAAGCUAGCAACAUUGCAUCUAUCUGAUCAUUGCUCUGUAUUCACAUCUCCUUCUGACAAUAGUCGGGAAAGGUUUUCCACUUUUAAGGAUCUAUGGGUUGAAUUUUGGCCCUCCAAAAUAUAUGUCCACAUCCUAGUUACCAGAACAAGUGAAUAUUACAGGAUAUUAUUGUUUGGAAAAGGGUUCUUUGAAGAUGUAACUACAGAUCUUGAGAUAAAAAAAUCAUCCCGGAUUAUUUGACUAUGCUCCAAACCUAAUGACAAGUGUCUUGUUAAAAGAAAAGCAGAGGGAAAUUUGAGGUAGAAAGAAGAUAAGAGGAGGCAGCAAUGGGAUCACAGAAGCAGAGAUUGAAUCAAUGCAGCUACAAAUUAAGGAUCACCUGGAGCUACCAGAACUUGAAAAAGACAAGGAAGGAGUCUCCCUAGAGCUCCCAGAAGGAGUGGGGUUCCUGCUGAUAGCUUGAUUUCAGACUUCUAACCCCCAGAACUAUGAAAGAAUAAAUUGUUGCUUUAAGCCACCCAGUUUGUGAUAAUUUGUUAAAUUGGCCACAGGAAACUAAUACAGGAUCCAUGUGAUGAUACAGAGUCCUUCAGGAUAAUCAAGGAUAAUCUCCUAGCCUCAGAGUCCUUCACCUUAAUUACAUCUGCAAAAUCCCUUUUCCCAUGUAAGGUGAUACAGUCACAGGUCCUAGGGAUUAGGAUUUGGGCACUUUUAGGGGGCCCUUCUUCUGCCUAUCACAGCACAACAAUAGACUGUUCA